GAACCGUUCCUGAAUUUUCUAUUUAUUCUGAUGAUCUUUCUCCUCUGACAUCCGGAUCCCAAGACCUCCCUCUCUGAGGAUGCGAGGAGAUCUCAGAUGUUAUCAGCCUGCUGUGACCAAAGGAGAAAAAGAUAUUAUACUUCUCAUCAAAAUAUCAUUGUUCUGUUCUAAUCUGUGGCACCAGAAACUAAUGUGAUCACCUAAUGACUGGAUCCCAAAUCUAAAGCUUUCCAUCAAGUUUUCAAAUAAGGAACAAUCCCAUCAUUUUAAACUCAGAGCAAAAUAUCCAAAAAGAACAUUAAAGAGACAGUUAUGCUGUGGACACAAACAUUGUUGCCUAAACUCCCUAGGAUGACAAGAUAAUAUGGACAUGACUUUGUUGUUGUUUUUAAUAUUGUUAUAUUCUACUAGAUUCUGCAUUUGUUUAAGUUUAGACAAUAAUUAGUUGAAAAUUUUUGUUAUUCAUUUCCCACCAUUAAAUAUCAGCAACCAUAUUGAUAGAUUUUAAUUUUUAAUGCAAAUUGGAAACAAUUGUUUUUUUAUAUUACAAUCUCAGUUCACUCCUGCACCCAUCUUGACAUUCUCCUGUCAUCUACCCCUUAACAACGAAUCCACUCCUUAGAAUGAAUGAGGACUUCCAUAGGGUAUCUUCAAGUCUUUCAUGUUAAUUUUGGCAGAAUCCAGAACUCCCCUGCUGUGUCUAUGCCAAGAGUGUAUCCCUCUAUAUUGAAAGGGGUUCAAAAACCCAUUUCAUGCAACAUAAAUAAAUACUGGUUCCACUUCCAAUGGCCCCAUUAGC